UCGUCAGUGAGGUAUAUCCUUACCUGUUCCUCCUCCGGGAGAACAGAAAAUGAUGAAUGGAGAGGCAUGAGAGAUG